rnacentral:lncRNA from 1 species
GUGGGGUCCGUUUUUGAGUAAGUCAAGGAAGCUCGAUGGGAAAGUGGGAACUUACCGGGUCCAGGGAGGUUCCAGAAUUCUUCAGAUCAAGCUAAAGAAGUAUUUCCCUCAUUUUUGUUGUGAUGACUAUUUUGGUCUCAGGCUGAUGAAGCCAAGAAAAAAACCUGUCAUAUAGCAUAAUAAUUGCAAUACUAACAAUGCCACAUGUAAUAUUUUUAAAGUAUUUAUAAUGUGCCUGGCAUGGUACUAAGUUCUUUACGUCAUGCAUGAUUUCAUUAUAACCCUUAACGCCAGCACUCCAUGAAGUAGGCCCUAAUAUGAUUCUCCUGUUUUACAGAUUAAUAAAUUAUCCUGAAAUCACACUGAAAACAUCAUGGUCCUUACUUAGCUGUUUUCUUAGAGGAUUGUAGGCUCCCCAAGUUUUAGCCAAGGAGAAGAGGCGUUGUGCUACGCAAAGAUACCAACCUGUGAUUUGCCAAGUGAGAACUAUCAAUAAAAGCCCAAAAAACCAGACCAAGUUUGUCUGUUACGCUCAGAACUCCUUUCUGGGACUGGCUAGAAAGAGAUCUCGUUCAUGGAGACAAUUGUUCAAGGACUUUCUGACACCCCAUGGUGGGGGCUCUGAAGGAGGGGCAAGCUGAAGAGCUACCUGGUGAGAGAGAGAGAGUAUUUUAAUAGGAUGUAAUAAAUCUGGUACUUUAACUGGAAAGAAACCGUAA